AUACCGUUCCACAAAAUUCUAAGAAAACUGUAAAAAAAUCUAUAUCCCUAAUUUUUCUCCCACUAACACUUCCAUGUUCAUUUUCUAUUUAACUCCAAUAAGUUUAGUUUUUCUCUACUCGAUCUUUCUUUGUAUUCAUCUCCAUCAUUGUUUAUUCGUCUCCAUCAUUUUUUCUUCUGGUUGCAUAGAUUUGCUCACACUAUCACGUUCGUGAUGAAAUAUGUCACGUUUUCAAAUGGUUUGAUCUCAAAUUUAACUCUCAGUCAACUCAACUUCUUAUUUAUUUUAUCUUCCUUACCAUAGUUUUAUUUUCUGCAAAUUCUCAUAUUAAUCCCUUUUUUGGUUUCUCAUCUCUAUUUUGUCGGUCUCUCUUCCCCUUCCUCUUCGUCGUCUCAUCUGCGUGUUUGUCAUAUUCACAGAAUUUAGCAAAGAAGCUGAUCCAGGUUAAAGAUGCCAAUGCCCUACUGGAUUAUAUUCAUACUUCCCAACUAAAUACUUCAAAACAAAAUGGACAAAUAAGAGAUCUAUCAUCCUAAAGAUAAAAGUCCUGACAUGCAAUGCAAGUUAACGCCAUUGAUAAAGAUAACGAGUGAGUGAUUACCGGCUACAUCAUUACGACAAAUCAGUAGUGUGGAUUAAGGGAAAAGAGGAUUAGAAGAAGAUCUCCUGGCUGAUGACGUGUAGCAAAACCGGGACAACAACAGCAGAAUGACGACUAAACCAGGGGAGAGAAACAAUUCAAAAACUUAAUCCAAACGUUCAAGCAGGCAGUAAUUGUCAUUGAAAAAGGCAGUGAUAUGGAUGACAAAAAAAAGGACGGUGAUAUGAUGUAUACGGAGACUAAGUGGAAAUAGCUUCAUAACAAAGACGGUCUUCUAGCUUUCUGAAAGAUGAAAUGACAACAACAACAAAAUAAUUUGAAGAAAUUGAUCCAUGUGUCAAUUUGGAUAGGAGAAAAGGAUGGAGAAAAAUGUUUCUUUCUUGCAUACAAUAAAACAGAUUUUUUCCUCCAAAUGUAUGUAUCUAAAUAAUUUUGACGUUUUCUUUGAUAAAUACUUAGUUUUAAAAUUUAUAUUUUAAAUUUUAUUAUCAA